GAUGAACGCUAGCUACAGGCUUAACACAUGUAAGUCGAGGGGAAACGAUAUUGGAAGCUUGCUUCCGAUAGGCGUCGACCGGCGCACGGGUGAGUAACGCGUAUCCAACCUACCCAUCACUUGGGGAUAACCUUGCGAAAGUAAGACUAAUACCCAAUGACGUCCAUAGAAGACAUCUGAAAUGGAUUAAAGAUUUAUCGGUGAUGGAUGGGGAUGCGUCUGAUUAGCUUGUUGGCGGGGUAACGGCCCACCAAGGCGACGAUCAGUAGGGGUUCUGAGAGGAAGGUCCCCCACAUUGGAACUGAGACACGGUCCAAACUCCUACGGGAGGCAGCAGUGAGGAAUAUUGGUCAAUGGGCGAGAGCCUGAACCAGCCAAGUAGCGUGCAGGAUGACGGCCCUAUGGGUUGUAAACUGCUUUUAUAAGGGAAUAAAGUGAGUCUCGUGAGACUUUUUGCAUGUACCUUAUGAAUAAGGACCGGCUAAUUCCGUGCCAGCAGCCGCGGUAA
rnacentral:rRNA from 1 species